CUUCCACACAGCUCUCCUGCCAGGUGUGGAUGGUGAUCUGGGCUGACAACCCUGACAUCCACCCAACUAUGGUAAGACCCCAGGUUCACUGUGGUCCCUAGCUUCCCUGAUAGCACGUCUGCUCUCAGGCUCCGGCCACUGUGGACUUACUUUCACAAAGUAUACAGAGAGGGUAGCAUUGGACAUCUUAGUCUCCCCAAAAGACCGGAUGUUGAAGGCUGCAAUUCUCAGAGUCCCAGCCAGCUGCAGCAGGUUGGCCAGGGUGAGCAGUGUUCCCAUUAGCCCUGUGUACCGCAUCCUGUGAGAUUGAAUGGUCAGGACAAAGAAGCAGUGAGGCUCCCAUCCCCAUCAAAGACUAAAGCCUAGCUUGUGCCGAACAGAGAGACGCCCUCAGCCCUUCCCCUGCACUCACCUGAAAGCCUAUCCGAGACGGCUGCAGCAGUCAGAACAGACCUGCUCUGUUGGUGCGAUGAGCCCCCGAGUCUGCUCUGGAACUGUGGAUGAACAGGUGUCUCUGCCAUGCUGAACAUCAACAGUAGGUCAGGAGCACACUCUGGAGGUGCAAGAACAGACACCAGGAAGGUAGAAGCUGAGUGCUUCAGUCAGAUCAACAAGGAAGUAUGUGCUGACAGCCAGUGGCCAUAAGGAACACUGGCCACUUUUUCAGAUCAGGUGAGCUUUUUAAAGGUCAACUCUGAUGAUUUACAAUGUUCUCUUUAAAUUACUCUUGUCACAGAUACCGAAUGGGGAAAUAACGAAUAGCAAUGGAUUAUUAAAGUGUGAGCCAAGUCAAAGGAUAUGG
rnacentral:lncRNA from 1 species